UUAUACUAAUAAGGUUAAUUUCCAACUAGAUGUCCAACUUGAGAGUGUCAACUGAAGUGAUUGCAAUAGAAUAUCUGAUACGGGAAACUCCGCAAUGAUAGCAGCUACUGCAGUUGCUACACAGGUCCAUCCUAAGGGCAGCGAUGGCUUCUGGUGAUCUACAUCGAGUCAACUGAUGGGUGUGGUUCUUUUUUAUAUUUUCCACCUCAAGAAGAUUUUUAAAGAUAGCAAAAACAGGAAGAUGUUCGCUUAUGUCAUUUAUAAGGAGCCCAGCUGUUACUUGACUAGCUAUUGUAUUUAUGAAAAUAUUAUCUAUCAAUGUGGC
ensembl:lncRNA